GAUGAACGCUAGCGGCAGGCCUAACACGUGCAAGUCGAGGGGUAGAAGGAGCUUGCUCCUUUGAGACCGGCGCACGGGUGCGUAACGCGUAUGCAAUCUACCUUGUACAGGGGAAUAGCCCAGAGAAAUUUGGAUUAAUGCCCCAUAGUAUAUAACCUUCGCAUGUUGGUUAUAUUAAAGUUCCAACGGUACAAGAUGAGCAUGCGUCCCAUUAGUUAGUUGGUAAGGUAACGGCUUACCAAGACGAUGAUGGGUAGGGGUCCUGAGAGGGAGAUCCCCCACACUGGUACUGAGACACGGACCAGACUCCUACGGGAGGCAGCAGUGAGGAAUAGUGGUCAAUGGUCGCGAGACUGAACCAGCCAUGCCGCGUGCAGGAAGACGGUCCUAUGGAUUGUAAACUGCUUUUAGACAGGAAGAAACCCUCCCACGUGUGGGAGCUUGACGGUACUGUAGGAAUAAGGAUCGGCUAACUCCGUG
rnacentral:rRNA from 1 species